UUUUAUAAAUUUUGAUAAAAAUGCACUGAAUUUUCCAAAAGAAACUUUUGUCGUUUACAGUACUACUGAUUACAGUUUUAACUAAACAGUGCUCUAUAUGACUUCGAGUGUGCGGUGUCCGAAGCUCACUUCAACGCAACGACGACAUUAGAGUUUAUGCACCGCUUUAACUGCCUUCACGAGGAGCUAAAAGCGCUAAUAUGUGGAACUUCGGGGAAUUAUUUGAAUUAUAAUGAUCUUUUGAGGCGUUGAGGACAAAACAGGUGUUAAACCACCUUCACCGAAAGAGCAAGAAAAAGCUAAUGGCGCAUCUAAACAGCCAAUGAUAUGGCCAACUGAACGAGUGCGAAUGAUUGGUGACAACUGCCUCACCUCCUCCCCGAACUUUCUAAGGCGAGUCAGAAAUCGCGAACGUACACCUCAAUCAUCACUUCGCAAUGGGUGUUACCGUAGUGGAAAGAGAUGUCAACACUUCUUCAAUUUAUGUGGACUGUUCUAGUUUCCGCGGGAAGAUAACUGAAUUUUUAGAUACUGGACAGUGCUCUCCUUUACGGGGCAGUCUCGUGACUGAAAUAGCUCAAAGGCUAACAUAAUGAGCACUAUUGCCAGCCAUUCAAAAUACUAGAAAACCGGAAGAUAUCAACUCGGGCCCGUAUGAUAGGUCAUUACUCGGAAAUGCAUGCUCCAACUGAACUAUUAAAGAGUCUGCUAGUAUAAUUGUUAGGCCUCAGUUCAAUGCUGGUUUAACAU